CCUACGGGAGGCAGCAGUGAGGAAUAUUGGUCAAUGGACGAGAGUCUGAACCAGCCAAGUAGCGUGAAGGAUGACUGCCCUAUGGGUUGUAAACUUCUUUUAUAUGGGAAUAAAACGUUCCACGUGUGGGAUUUUGUAUGUACCAUAUGAAUAAGGAUCGGCUAACUCCAUGCCAGCAGCCGCGGUAAUACGGAGGAUCCGAGCGUUAUCCGGAUUUAUUGGGUUUAAAGGGAGCGUAGGUGGAUUGUUAAGUCAGUUGUGAAAGUUUGCGGCUCAACCGUAAAAUUGCAGUUGAUACUGGCAGUCUUGAGUACAGUAGAGGUGGGCGGAAUUCGUGGUGUAGCGGUGAAAUGCUUAGAUAUCUCGAAGAACUCCGAUUGCGAAGGCAGUUCACUGGACUGCAACUGACACUGAGGCUCGAAAGUGUGGGUAUCAAACAGGAUUAGAUACCCCUGUAGUC
rnacentral:rRNA from 1 species